ensembl:lncRNA
CCCCCCGCUCCCCAUGGGCCACCAGCCCUGCUCACACCCCAUGAGCGCCCUGCAGCAGGAAGAGAAGCGACGCCAACGGCCGUUGGAUGGGAAGGAAGGCUCUCCAGCCCCCCCAGGCAUCAGCGCUCAAAUGAAUGGGAAGGGAAAGUCCUGCCCCGUUCUCUCCGCUUCUGCUGGAGGUCUGAGGGCGCUCAGGUGGAUCCUGACGGGCCACGCUCCGCUGCCUCCAUCCCUGCAAGACGUGAGGAUGGAGCUGAUGGCUGCGGGUGGGGAUGCCGCCCUGCAGCUGUCUGAAACACGAAGCAAAUCCCUUCCUCCCCAUUGCACAACUCACUCCUGGACAGGGUUUGUAUGCGAAGCAGUGUGGGAU